UAAACACACCAAGCACGUCACCGUCACUACCAAGUGAUACAAACCCCUAAUUUGCUCCAUCGAUGCUUUCUGAUCUCUCAACCCGUUUUAUGUUAUGAAAACAAAACCAUCUACUCUAAAUUUAUAAGCGUUUAAGAUUUAACCACCACAUCUCUCACAGAAUCAUACUAUAUAUUUUACAUGGUAAAUAAUGUGUUCUUUUAUUAGCAUAAACAAAUCACUACAUCUCAGUCAUGGUUUUGUUUUGUCUUUAUCUUCCCCAACAACACUUAAAAUACUAAACACGAGUUUCCCGUAUACAUUAUUAGUAUUGUUUUUUCGUAAAAUAACGCAAUGAAACAGCUCACUAAAGGCAUUAUCACGAUCUCCUAACUAAAUUUG